rnacentral:rRNA from 1 species
UAGAGUUUGAUCCUGGCUCAGGAUGAACGCUGGCGGCGUGCUUAACACAUGCAAGUCGAACGUGAACCUAGCUUGCUAGGUGAAAGUGGCAAACGGGUGAGUAACACGUUGGUGACCUACCCCCAGGCGGGGGAUAACCCUGGGAAACCAGGGCUAAUACCGCGGAUGUUUGAAGGUUUAGAAACUUCAAACUAAAACUAAGGUGCCUGGGGAGGGGCCUGCGGGCUAUCAGCUAGUUGGUGGGGUAAAGGCCUACCAAGGCGCAGACGGCUAGGGGGCGUGAGAGCGCGACCCCCCACAAGGGAACUGAGACACGGUCCCUACUCCUACGGGAGGCAGCAGUGAGGAAUAUUGCCCAAUGGAGGAAACUCUGAGGCAGCAACGCCGCGUGAACGAUGACGGCCUUCGGGUUGUAAAGUUCUUUUCUCAGGGAAGAUAAUGACGGUACCUGAGGAAUAAGUCCCGGCUAACUACGUGCCAGCAGCCGCGGUAAAACGUAGGGGACAAGCGUUAUCCGGAUUUACUGGGCGUAAAGCGCCCGUAGGCGGCUUUGUAAGUUGGACGUGAAAGCUCCCGGCUUAACUGGGAGAGGCCGUUCAAAACUGGAAAGCUAGAGUGAGGAAGAGGAGAGCAGAAUUCCCGGUGUAGUGGUGGAAUGCGUAAGAUCGGGAGGAAUGCCAGUGGCGAAAGCGGCUCUCUGGUCCUAAACUGACGCUUAGGGGCGAAAGCGUGGGGAGCGAACGGGAUUAAUACCCCGGUAUCCACGCCGUAAAACAUGGAAACUAAGUUUAGUUGAUAAACCCCAUUUGUGCCGAAACCACACCCNUUAUUUCCCCCUGGGGANUACGGCCGCCAGGUUUAAAACUCCAAAGGAAUUGACGGGGGCCCGCACAAGCCAGCGGAGCGUGUGGUUUAAUUCGAUGAUACGCGAAGAACCUUACCUGGGUUUGACAUAAUGGUAGUAGCCGACUGAAAAGAAGGCGACCCUUCGGGGAGCCAUUACAGGUGCUGCAUGGCUGUCGUCAGCUCGUGUCGUGAGAUGUUGGGUUAAGUCCCGCAACGAGCGCAACCCCUGUUGCUAGUUACAAGUGUCUAGCGAAACUGCCGUUACAAAAGCGGAGGAAGGUGGGGAUGACGUCAAGUCAGCAUGGUCUUUAUGUCCAGGGCUACACACACGCUACAAUGGUCGGUACAAUGGGAAGCCAGCCCGCGAGGGUGAGCAAAUCCAGAAAGCCGGCCUCAGUUCGGAUUGCAGUCUGCAACUCGACUGCAUGAAGGUGGAGUUGCUAGUAACCGCGCGUCAGCGAUAGUGCGGUGAAUGCGUUCCCGGGCCUUGUACACACCGCCCGUCACAUCAUGGGAGUCGGUAACACCUGAAGGUGGUGGUCGAACCGCAAGGGAGAAGCUACCUAAGGUGGGGCCGGUGACUGGGAUGAAGUCGUAACAAGGUAGCUGUAGCGGAAGCUGCGGCUGGAUCACCUCCUUA